CAGUGGGAGUAUGUGGAGGAGGAAAGAUGUUUCACAGUUCUGGUAACUGUGAGCUGGAACCUGUGAGCAAAUGUUUGUUUGCUUUGGCAGCAAGCCUUCUGUCUGAGCAUCCCACAGGACCUUGUCAGUGAUUAUCCCUGAUGCACAUAUGGCCACCAAGGAGUCACCUUCUUAAGAAGGGAACCAGCGGGGCACGAUCAGAGUCUGCACACUGCUGCUCCACAGGUGGACACUGGGAUGGUAUUCUACUUUUCUCUCUGCUCCUGCACAGGAACAUUGGCUUUGAAAACAGGUGACUUGUGAGCUGAAUUACAUUUAAGUGAAAGUACUGCCAUGUCCUGACUUACCUACUGAGUGUAAUGAGCUUCAUAUUCUUUGGCCUUAUUUCAUCAAUAUUUUCCCUCAGAGAUCUUCAGCUUGGAGAUGUUUCAUGAAUUAGGCUGGAAGAGCUAGCCAGGAUCCUUUGGAAAAGCUAAUGGCCAGUCUGAGAAGCCCUGUGUAUGAUGAAUUAGCUCAAGGUUCCAUCCCUGUGCUCCCACCAAAAUUUAUCGGACUACCUCUCCAAGGAUCUCCUGCUGCUCUAUGCAUUCCAGUUGGACUGGUUCUUCAGGUGAUUUGUAAUGACAAGAUUUAUUGCCUCUUCUCUGUAAAUUGA
rnacentral:lncRNA from 1 species